rnacentral:rRNA from 1 species
AGAGUUUGAUCAUGGCUCAGAACGAACGCUGGCGGCAGGCCUAACACAUGCAAGUCGAGCGCCUCGCAAGAGGAGCGGCAGACGGGUGAGUAACACGUGGGAACGUGCCCGAAGGUACGGAACAACUCCGGGAAACUGGAGCUAAUACCGUAUGUGACCGAGAGGUGAAAGAUUUAUCGCCUUCGGAUCGGCCCGCGUCUGAUUAGCUAGUUGGUGGGGUAAUGGCCUACCAAGGCGACGAUCAGUAGCUGGUCUGAGAGGAUGAUCAGCCACAUUGGGACUGAGACACGGCCCAAACUCCUACGGGAGGCAGCAGUGGGGAAUCUUGGACAAUGGGCGCAAGCCUGAUCCAGCCAUGCCGCGUGGAUGAUGAAGGCCCUAGGGUUGUAAAAUCCUUUCGUCAGGGACGAUAAUGACGGUACCUGAAGAAGAAGCCCCGGCUAACUUCGUGCCAGCCGCCGCGGUAAUAC